CUAUUAAUAGUAUACGGUCACACAUUAAUUGCUUCAUGUGACCGACCAUCCACCCUCACCUCCCAAUUGGAACCCUAAUCUCACCUGCUGCCAUACGUUCACCUUCACCACAUAUCCUUGAUAAUUACCAAUUUCAACAGUGCAUCAACAUCGAAUUGAAGCUCAUCUUAGUUUGGUUGGACUAUGGAUAUUUGAAGGCAUGCUGAAUGUUGAUGCUGUUACGACUGUUGUUCUUGGACUGUCUGUUCUCCUUAUAACCGGAGUCGUGACAUGGAAGGAAUGCUUGGCUGAAGCUAUUGCAUGGGAUACCCUUACAAGUUCCUUUGAUGCUACAUGUAGGUGAGAGUGCAACCAUUAAAAACUCAUGAAACCGGCUCGGGCUCAAAGCUGGACGUUGUCUAGCUCGCCACUUAAGUUUCUGGUCUUCACAAAGAUAACAAGCCUGAACGACAUACUUGCAGUGGCAUAGCCAGGGAUUCUUUUUAGAUUGGUUCUUGUGCUAUUAAUAAAACGACAGUUACUUGUAGUGGCGGAGCCAUGAAUAUUUUUCGCUGGGUCAAAAAACAAUUAUCGAAGUUUGUUUAUAUGAAGUACUUUUUACCGGGUCAUG